UUCAGGGCCGACAGGUCCACGGCCCCCAGGUGGCGCUGCUGGAAGUCCGGAUCGGUGACGUAACGGAUGAACAGGUCCGAUUUCUCCUGCAGACCCAUUUUCUCUGGAGACUCCAGGGCGAGGCUGAGGAAAAGCAGCUGCCGGCCCAGCACCUCAAGGUUAUUCUCCACGAUGUAGAACUGAGAAGAGGGAAGGAAAACAAGCUGAGAAGCCCUGGGAAAAGUCGACAUCCGUACAGGGGCAGGCGUUAUAGGUUCCCCCGUCCCAGAGGGGCCAUGUCUCCACGCCAGGUGAGGGGUCCCCGUAUACCCAGCCCCCCUGAUCCACCCCAGAGGGGCCGCAGCCCAGCGCCACGUGAGGGAACCUUCCAUAGACAAUGAAAAGCCGGAGGGGAGCUUUGAGAUCCCCCUGACAUAAACAUUUCUACCUUACA